GCUACAACUGGCCAAUAGUAGACCGAUUAUAUUGUCUACUAAUCCAUUGAGGGUUUGGGAUCUAGAUCUCUGAGGGAGCACCCUUCCCCAUGAAAUCAUGAAUCUUUUGGAAGAGGAAUCUUUUGGAAUCUAUUUGGUCUUCUUGAGGUGAUUCCUUCUUAUAAUAUUCAAAGUCCCCUAAUAUUUCUCAUUUCAUUCAAAAUGAAUAAUCCUUCGUAUAUAGCUCCAGGUGCUUUUUGUAGUAAACUCUGAUUUAUAAUCUGAUCAUGUCUAAGAAGAUAAAAUGAAAUAAUAUCCUCAUUUGACAAGCAGAAGAAACUAAUAGAAACAGAGGUUAAGAAAGCACCCUAGGGACUUAUGAGAAAGAGCGCUAUCCACAUCUGGAGGAAGAACUGGGAGUAGAAACACAGAAGAAAAACAACUGCUCGAUCACAUGGGUCGAUGGGGAUAUGAUUAGGGAUUUAGACUCUAAACCAUCCGGCUAGUGCAAAUGCUAAUAAUAUGGGGAAAGGUCUUGAUCAAUGACACAUGUAAAACCCAGUGGAAUUGUUCCUUGACUAUGGAAGGGGGAUGAGAAGAGGGGAGGGAAAGAACAUAAUUCAUGUAACUGAAAAAAUAUUCUUAAUUAAUUAAUUUAAUGUAAUGUUUCAAUUUUUAAAAGCACCCUAAAAUCAGUCACAGUUCAGGAUCUAAGGGGGGAAGGAAUUGAGCAUAUGUAUAGUAUUUACUAUGUGCCACACACUUUUUAGAAUAUGCCUUUGAAGUGGGAGGGAACUUGGAGAUAUUUAGUCCAAAUUGUUCAUUUUAUAGAUGAAGAAAUGGAGGCAUCAGAUUUCCCUAUUUUCCAGGGAGAACUGUUCUCCACACUGUUAUUUCUCAACUGCCAAUGGUCUGUUACUAAUGGAAAUCCUUGCUUCUUUUUAAAUUAAGUAAUACUGUAUGGAUGUAACUUUAAACAACAAUUAAAAUGAGAUUUUACUACUUUUAUUUUGAAAACCAAUUAGAAAAUACACAUGUGGUUUACGCAUUUAUACAUUAUAUAUAUAUAUAUAUACACCUACAAUUGUGUUUUAUAAAAUGUUCACAAAAAUAGAAAAAUUUUAAAGAUAAUUAAGAUGAAAGAAAAGAUUCCACUAAUUUUCAUUCAAUCAGCAAUGGAUCUAGUUCCUUAUUUCUUCUCAACUUCUUUAUGAUUGACCUUUCACUUUUAGUUAUUUUUGCCAUUUUAAUAGAAGUGCAAGAAUGUUUCACAUUUUUUAAUGGGAUUUCUUUAUGAAAAAGAUUUAAUGAUACUUCGCAAUUUUUCAUAUCUGUUGACCAGACCUUAAUGGGAACUCGAGGUUGCCCUUGAUUUGGAGCAAAUUCCUUAUACAUUUUAGGGGUUAAAUUUGUAUCUGUCGUUUUUGUCAUAUAGUUUUCCCAGUCCUUGGUUGUUUUUCUUAUCUUAUUGCGUGGUUUUGUUUUUCAGGUAAGUGAUCUAAUUUAUUUUUAAAGGUCCUUAUGUAAAACCCUUAUUUUCUGUCUUAGAAUUGAUAAGUAUAUAUAAAUAAGUAUAUGUUUAUAUACAAGUACAUAUAGAUAAGUAUAUAGGUUCAUAUAUGUAUAUAUAAGCAAGCAUUGAUUUAUAAGACAGAAGAGCAGCAAAGGUUAGACAACUGGGGUUAAGUAACUUGUCCAAAGUCAUAUAGAUAGGUAAUGCCUGAGGGCAGAUUUGAACUCAGUUCCUCCUGACCACAGGCCUGGCACUCUAUCCACUAUGCCAUGUAGCUGCCCUGUAAUACACAUACACACAUACAUAUUUUUUUAAGGACCCCUUCCUGUGUCCUACUUUUUCCACCCCUGAUUUCCUCCAAGUCCUCUCCUCCUGGUCUUGCACCUUCAGCUUCUGAGCUGAUAACCACACUGCUCCUAGAGAAGACAACUAGAUGCCAGUGUAGUUUUGUUAGGAAGUACUACACUACACUUCCAUUUUUCCUCCUCCAAAGAUCUAAUCUUUGCUUCCUGCUCCCUUCUCAGCACCUGGCCUCCCUUGUGCUGUUUUCUCUCUCCUCCUGUGAGCCACUGCAAACGCUGGGGUUCUCAGACUUCUUCAAGGAGUAUAGAAAGUAGUCAGAAAGGGUAGGGUUCCAUUAGUUUGGCUUCAUUACAAAGUAGACAGAAAAUAACUACCUGGAAUGUUGAUUGUGGCUAGUGGUUGAGAGCCAUGACAUUCAUGAGAGUCAUGAAUCCAUGAGAGGAUUCAAAAGGUAACAUGACCAAUUUGUAAUGCAAAACAUUUCAGAAUCUGAAUGUGUUUUGUCCUGAAAAGUAGCCAUUGUGAGAGACUUUACCAGUUCAGUCUUCCCUUGGAAUUGUCAUUAUAAUUUGUGAUGCAAAGUGGCACAUCUUAAUAAAUCGUAAUAACAAAAUAAUAAUAGCAGUAAUAUUAAUAGUCAACCCAGUGCUUAAGGUUUACAAAGGAUGUUAAAUGUAUUAUUUUACAUCUUUUGAAGGAAAACAGCUAAUAGACAUAUGCAAUUAAUUAUGAAUUGGGUGGGUAAACAGGCUAGCUUCUUGGUUCAAAAGCAGGAAUCAAUAUAAAGCGAUGAGAUACUUCAUUUUAGGGUCUGUGAAAUGAUGCUCUAGCUAUGUCUUUUUUUUUUUAAUCCUUACCUUCCAAUACUGUGUAUUGGAUCCAAAGCAGAAGAGCAGUAAGGGCUGGGCAAUGGGGGUUAAGUGACUUGCCCAGGGUCACACAGUUGGGAAGUGUCUGAGGCCACAUUUGAACCCAGGACCUCCCAUCUCUAGGAAUGGCUCUCAAUCCACCAAGCCACCCAGCUGCCCCCUCUAGCUAUUUCUUUUUAAAAGGGGGACCUUGAAGCAUUUAGGUUAUCAGAGACAAAUGAGAUCAUUUAGGCAGAGCAUUUGGUAGCCAUGAAAUCUCCAUGUAAAUCAUCACUAGUAACUGUGACUUUGAAAGGGACAAUACCUAUUUAGAUGAAGAAAUCCUGUUGCUGUUUAAUCAGUCCCUUUACUUCCUAGCAGUUCAUGGUAUCAGAAUGUGCACCUUUGUAUGGGCUAUACUGUGCAGGCACACACCAUCCAUCCUUAUCCACAAUAAAAUAAGACUGGGGAAAACGCAUUCCACAAGGUUAAGAGCUCAAACCCCAGAAAAUUAAGAUUAACCUGUUGUUCAAAAUAGAUGUUCAGAUUUGCCUUGGACUAAAAUGAGGAAAUUAUUUUGAACUAAGACCUAUGUAGCCAUCUGCUAUAUGCUCUGCUACCUAGUCCAUCCUUUAUUGAACAGACUGAUCUGUUACAUUCCUUUUUUUAAUUUUAAAAGUUUUCUGGGUUCUGUUCCUUGAUCUCUCACUUCUCUGUUAAAAGGUAGGUAGUAUGCAUUACUAUUAGCUCUCUGGAUCAUAGCUUUUAAGUUGUUUUCUUUAUAAUGUUAUUACUUUAUAAAUUGUUCUUCUGGUGCUGCCCCUUUCAUUCUACAUCAAUUCUUGAAAGUCUUCCUAGAUUUCUCUAAAAAUCAUCUUUCGUCAUAUCUCAUGGUGCAAUAGUAUUCUAUCAUAUUCACAUCAUAAUUUACUUGUUCCUUUAAUUGAUGGGCAUCCUUUUAGGUCCCAGUUGUUUUUAACACUGUAAAGAGCUGCUAUAAAGAUUUUAUAUUUUUAAAAAUUAUAUUAUUUGUUAUUUUUUCCUAUCUAUUUUUAAUGAAGCCAAAAGCAAUCUAAUCCUCCCCUUUGUGGCUCUACUUUCCAGACUUCUUGAUUGCAGUGGCUCACAGAAAGAGAAAACCACAUAAGGGCAUGUGGUGAGAAGGGAGCAGGAGGGAAAGAUUAAAUCUUUAGAGGAACAAGAAUGUUUUUUGAAAACAACUUUAAAAACUACUUAUUCAAGAGAUAAACAGUUUUAUCUCUUUAGAGUUUCUGCCUAUUAGUGGUAUCAAACCCAUAUCACCAUCCAACAUACUGACUGAAGUCAUAGAAUCUGGGUUCAAACUUUAUACUUAGCAGUGACUAUGGGCAAGCCACUUCUUCUGGGUCUCAAUUUCUUCAUCCGUAAAAUGAGGGAGUAUAGUUUUUAAGGUUCCUUCCAGUUCUAAAUCUGUAAUACUAUAAACCACCACCUCCUCUCUUCUGCUGUCCCUCCCCUUCCAGCUAACCUAUCCCAGCACUUUUCAAUUGCUCUUGUUUCCCUGGAAUUCUUUGCAGUGGAAAUUAUAGUGAAGCCAGCUAGGCCCCCUAGCUCCUCCAGUCUAUCCAGACCUGCCCCUAAGGAUAAAACUUCUGAAGAUGAAUGGUCCUUACCUCUUCUAUUGUGAGCUAAAGGUUUCCUUUGCAUCAAAGUGCUUAGAAAGGUCCUCAACAUAUAGACUCGAAACGAUCACCCUAGUGCCAUUAUUAUUAAUAAUAUGGAAAUGGGUCUUGAUCAACGACACAUGUAAAACCCAGUGGAAUUGCAUGUCACCUAUGGGAGGGAGUAGGUGGAGGGGAGGGAAAGAGCAUGAAUCAUGGAACCAUGGAAAAAUAUUCUAAAUCAAUUAAUUAAAUAUUUAAAAAAUUAAGGUCCCCAACUCCAUUUCUAAUCUGAAAUAAUUUGGGUUUGCCUUUCUGCAGGAAAUAUAUCACCACUAGACUUUAGCUCCACAAAGGUGGGAAACUUUCAAAAGUCAAGAAAGGUGAAAAGAGUGGAGGAAACAAUUUCUCCCACCCAAAUGUCUUCCCCAAAUGCCUUUCAGAUGUAAAUAAUUUGUCAGAUUACUAGUUGGGCCAGACAUUUGAGAGGCUUGGGGUGGGGUAGCAUAAAAUUGUAGUUGGAACAACCAUUUCAUGCCCUUGGCUAAAUUAUAGGCUCCUUUUCAAAAUGGUAUCCCACUGCCACUGCAAAAACCCAUGCCUCCGAAGGACACAGUGUCCUAGGAUGGGAACUUGAGAGAUUUCCAGAGCUUCCAGCCACCCCAAGAACAAAGGAAGAAUACCAUUAUGAUAUCCUGGAAGGAGUAUCUUCAAAACUUAUUCCUAGCACUGUCUGCUGGGGAAACCCAAACAAUAUAUUUUUCUUCCAAUCAUUUAUAUAAAAGGCUUUAAUCAACUCCUCUUUUCUCUGGGGCUGCUCAAAGGUUUGGAAUUUUCUUUUUUAAACCCUUACCUUCUGUCUUUGUAUCAAUCCUAAGAAAGAAGAGUGGUAAGAGCUAGGUCAUGGGGAUUAAUAGUGACUCAACUUUGUAUAGUAAGUUACUAUCAUGGGGAUAGCUGGGUGGCUCAGUGGACAGAGCCUAGAUAUGGGAGGUCCUGGGUUUAAAUGUGGCCUCAAACACUUCCUAGCUAUGUGACCCUGGGCAAGUCACUUUACCCCUAUUGUCUAGCCCUUACCACUCCUGCCUUGGAGCCAGUACACUGUAGUGAUUCAAAAAUAGAAGGUAAGGGCUUAAAAAAAAGUUAAAAUCACAAAGAACUUUCAUCUACAUUAUAUCAGUGUCUUGCAAUCAUUGAUUACCAAGGGAGGCUCCUUACAACCUGGAUACAAGGCAUGCCCAGGAGGAUAAGGAAUGGCCUAGAAGGUAGUGUCAAGGAUGAAAGACUAAACUGAUAACCUAAAAUCCUCCUUGCUUAGCCUUGCAUUGCUUAUAGUGUGUCUAAGACUUUAAACUGCUUGCAAAACUGACUAACUUGAAAACAAGUUAUGUGUAAACAUUCCAGGCUUUUGUUUUGGUUUUUAGUAUCCAUCUAAGGGGAGACUAUUGAGUAAUGGACUUGGAGUAAGGAACAUCUCUGGUUUGAACCCUUAAGACAUUUAUUAUCCUGGGCAAGUCACUUGACCUCUGUAUAUCUUGAGUAGAUGACAUUGAUUUGCAUUGUUAAGAGGAACUUUCCAAACCCAGGAUGCCCCAGGCUGAUGAAAUUCUCAAAAACUAAUUACUUCCACAUCAGAUAACUUCUUAAUUGUGUGACCCUGGGCAAGUCACUUAACCCCCAUUGCCCAGCCCUUCUUGCUCUUCUGCCUUGGAAUCAAUGCACAGUAUUGAAUCUAACAGGGAAGGUGAGGGUUAAAAAAAAAACUGAUUAAUCUACAAGAGCUAUUUAAUGAUCUGUAAAAUGGAGAGGUUGGACUAAAUGACCUCCAGGUUUCCUUCACCUCUAGGGUUAGGGUAGGUACAGCAAAUAUUCUACCCAUUUUACAGAUGAAGAAACAGGCUCAGGAGGUUGUGAUUUGCUUCUAGUCACAGCUAGCAAGAGGCAUAGCUAGAGGGUGAAAUGUAAAUGUCUAGGCUUCUUCUUCCUCCCUCUGCAGGCUGACAGAUCUGAAGUGAGCUGUCCUUUGGUUUGGGUUUGGGUUUUUUAAACCCUUAUUUCUGCCUUAGUAGACAUUCAGAGUCAGAGGAGUAGCAAGGGCUAGGCUAUUAGGGAUAAACAAUUUGCCCAAGUUCACACAACUAGGAGGUAUCUAAGGUCAGAUUUGAACCCAGGUCCUCCCCACUCCAGGUCUGCUGCUCUCUCCACUAUGUUACCUAGCCACCCCAACGAUUUGCCUUUUGGAUGAAGGUGAAAUGAACUUGGCAGUGGCCACCGAGUCCCAGAAUUAGGUUUCCUUACAACUGGAAUGUCAUCCACAAGAUCCAGAAACACACAAUUCCUCAUCGGUGUUUCACGCUCCCGUCUCAGACUCGGCGAACAAGGCACAGUGCUCUAGUAAGCUUUCUGCAAGCGCUGAAACUCCACAAACUGCAGAUUUUAAGAGUUUUCUUUUGGUUUUAGUAUCUCUAAGAGGAGGCGAUAUUAAGUAAUGGAUGGACAGCUGGACUUGGAAUAUGGAAGAUCUGGGUUCAAAUGGCACAAGACAUUUACUAGCUUGACGAUCCUGGGCAAGUCACAUAACCUCUGUACCCUGGGUAACUGUGACUUAUAAACCAAGUCUCAUUUAUCGGGUGAAAUGAUUACUAGGCAUCUUGUGGCCCUCUAUGCUCUUCUUGAGCAUGAACCCAGUUUCCCCCUCUGCUCCAAAAGAAGCUCAAGAUUCCUGAUUCUAGUCUAUCUUCUAGUUUGUUGGGGGUAAGACUCCAUGGAGAACCUAAUCAUCCAGACUCCUGAUAUAGCUGGGGGAUGGAAUCUUAGGGAGGACCUCAGAAUGACAGAAAAGCACUUAGUCCAGUCUACUCGGUUCAAGAGUUUGGUAGUGUUUUUUUUUUUUUUACAAAGUCAUUCAGUCUAUUUAAAGAAUUUCAGUGAGGGGGCAGCUGGAUAGAGAGUUGGGCCCAGAGACAGGAGGUCCUGGGUUCAAAUAUGACCUCAGAUACUUCCCAGCUGUGUGACCCUGGGCAAGUCACUUGACCCCCAUUGCCUAGCCCUUACUGCUCUUCUGCUUUGGAACCAAUACACAGUAUUGAUUCCAAGUCAGAAGGUAAGGGUUUAAAUAGAAAAUUUUAAAAAAGAAUUUUAGUGAAAGGGAAAUCAUCACCUCAUAAGACCACUAGGAAGGGAUAUCAUUCUAGAAUUGGAAAGUACCUUAAAAGUCGUCUGUUCGCCAUAUUCUACUUGAUUUCCUUCAUGAGUUUUUUGUUGCAUAUUUGCUAUGUGUCUUCUGCCAGGGCAUGAACAAUAUGGAAAUAUGUAUUGCAUGAAAGCACUGGUGAACACACUGUUAUAACCUAGAGCAGACUAUGUACCAGUGGAGGAAGGGAAGAAGUGAAGCUGAAUCAUAAACUGUCAGGAAGGGGGCAGCUGGGUGGCUCAGUGGAUUGAGAGCCAGGCCUAGAGAUGGGAGGUCCUGGGUUCAAAUGUGGCCUCAGACACUUCCCAGCUGUGUGACCCUGGGCAAGUCACUUAACCCCCAUUGCCUAGCCCUUACUGCUCUUCUGCCUUGGAGCCAAUACACAGUAUUAAUUCCAAUAUGGAAGGUAUGGGUUAUAAAAGUAAAAAUAAUUUUUUUUUCAAUUUAACAAAUCAAAUAAAAUGUCAGGAAAUAAUUGUCAAAAUUUGUUUCUACAUGUAAUUUUUUUUUUAGUGAAACUAAACCAAAAAAAGAUGAUAACUCUUUGAAGGCAAGAACUACUUCAUUUUUGAAUUGUAGCCCCAGGAUCUGAUAUAAUAGGCUUAAAUGGUUUUUUUAUUUAAAAAAAGGAAAAGAAGGAUAUCAUCCAUUCCAGACCCAUCAUUUUAUAGAUAAGGAAAAGGAGGCACAAGAGGGGGAAAUCCCUUGCCUAAGGUCACUCAAGUCAUGAGUGGCUGAGCCAGGGUUUGCAUUCAGAUUUGCUUCUGGCCACAUAGGUAGCAAGCCCAAGGCAGAAGGAGGUGUGCAACCCCAGUCUCUAGGCUCCAAGUCCACGGCUCUUUUCCCUGCCUCUCGGGCUUGACAGGUCUGAAAUGAGCUGACCUGAAUGAAGUUGAAAUGGAUUUGACAUUGUUCAUUAAGCCAAUCAAUUCAGCUUCCUUAUAACUAGAAUCUCUUUUACAAAUGGAGUGUAAAUCCAUUUUUCUUUCUCAUGUAGAAUGUUGCUAGGUAGCACAGUAGAUUGAGAACUAGUCCUGGAGUCCAGAGAACCUGGGUUCAAAUUUAACCUCAGAUACUUCUUAGCUCUGUGACCCUGGGAGAGUGACUUAACCCCCAUUGCCUAGCCCUUGCUGUUCUUCUGUCUUAGAACUGGUACUAAAACAGAAGAUAAGAGCUUUGGGUUUGGGGAAUUAUUUUAAUUCCCUCUAUGGGGGACAGCUGAGUGAUUCAGUGAAUUGAGAGCCAGGCCUAGAGACUGGAGGUCCUGGGUUCAAAUCUCUCCUCCGACACUUAGCUAUGUGACCCUGGGCAAGUCACUUAACCUCCACUGCCCAGUUCUUACCACUCUCCUGCCUUGGAACCAAUAGACACAGUAUUGGUUCUAAGACAGAAGAUAAAGGCUUAAAAAAAUGAUCUUGGUAAUUAUCCCCUUAAUGUUAAACCAAAAGCUGAAUCCCUUAGACUUCCAUUAGAUACUAAAAAUUUGCCCCCUGGACACUCACAGAGGUGACAGGGUAUCUGGGAAGUAAGUUUUCUCAUACCCAUUGAUUGCAAUUUGUUAGAAUCUAGAGGCUUUUCACCUACAUAUCAAAUAUCAGAGCUAUUUGUGGGGUAGAAGGGAAGAGGAAGAUGAAUAUGUUACUAGAAAGAAUCGUGGGGGGUUUGGGAAGUAAAAGAAUCUUCUUAGAAGUCUAGCUCAGUGACUUAAAAUUUAGGUGACCAUAAACCAGUCAUUUACCUUCUCCAAGAUUUGAGGUAUUCAUCUGUACAAGGGAGUAGGACUCCCCAAUAUCUAAGAUGCCCUCUAGCUCUAUUUCCGUGCUCCUAUAAUUAAAAUAUUGGUAAUAAUAAAUAGUGGAUUUGUGCUUGUUCUGACAA